GUGAGGAAUCUUGCGCAAUGGGGGAAACCCUGACGCAGCAACGCCGCGUGAGUGAGGAAGGUCUUCGGAUCGUAAAGCUCUGUCAGAUGGAAAGAACCGCAUGGGGAUAAACAGUCCUCAUGUCUGACGGUACCAUCGAAGGAAGCACCGGCUAACUCCGUGCCAGCAGCCGCGGUAAUACGGGGGGUGCAAGCGUUGUUCGGAAUUAUUGGGCGUAAAGAGCGUGUAGGCGGCCGGAUGUGUCAGAUGUGAAAUCCCUGGGCUCAACCCAGGAAGUGCAUUUGAAACUGUCCGGCUUGAGUAGGGGAGAGGGAAGUGGAAUUCCUGGUGUAGAGGUGAAAUUCGUAGAUAUCAGGAGGAACACCGGUGGCGAAGGCGACUUCCUGGCCCUAUACUGACGCUGAGACGCGAGAGCGUGGGUAGCAAACAGGAUUAGAAACCCGAGUAGUCC
rnacentral:rRNA from 1 species